ensembl:lncRNA
CUCAACAUUUAAAAUACUCAUUUAAUUACUUAUUAUUAGUUUUUUUUUAGAGUAAUGAAAUGCUGAGUAACUGGGGCCCUUGGGAUUAAAAGGUGGGGUAGACUGUGUUCCCUCUAUUUCAACAAGCUAAAAAUCCAAAUACGAGCUUAAUCAUUUCUUCCAGCCCAGCAUAAAGAGAAAGCAUGACCCUAGACGUGGAGUGAAUGGAGUGUGCACAUUUCUAUGAGUUCACUGUGGCUCCAAUGGGGAUUGAGCAGGCUCCAAGCACUAAAUAACCCUAAUGAUAUCAGGUAGGGGCUCACCGGGGAGCUGUUUGAGAGUUUGUCAGAGCAUAUUAAAAUACAAUACAUCCCCAUAAUCCAAAAUGGAACAUCAGUCCAUCUGUCCAUACAUUCUUUUCUGAUGUUAAAUUAGUUCAGGGGCUUUUCAAAAUUACAUCAUCUACACAGACCCCCUUCUUUGGUGAAUAAAAAUGCGGUGAGAAUGGAAAGAAAAUCAGAAUAAUGCACAGUGGUGGAAGUUCCAUAAUUGAAAUCAUUAUUGCUUCAGACACCAUUGCUUUAAUCAGCAGAAUCAUAAAUCAAUGCUUCUCACAUGUGAAGGUUGAAAAAUAAAGUGAUGUUAAACAAAUUGGUUCUCUUAAAAGGCAUGAUGCAAUUGGAAGCCACUGGAAAUGGAUAAAAAAGUGCUUUCUGAAGGGAUACAUCGCUCUAGCAUUUUAUCUUCCACUUAAUUAAAAGAAAUAUAUUACCUGGUCCUUUCUUAGAAAUUACAUAUUGGAGGUCUAUAAUGGCUGAGCCUUUAACCCAUUAAAAAAAUUUACUCCCAGGAACAGUUAAUAUUUGACGUUUAAUUGCUUUUACUUGUUGGAGAAGAAAGUAUGUGUGUUUCCUUCCUUUCUUGAUUGACUUUUUCAAAAAUCACUUUGUGAGCUAUGAAGAUAGAGAGGAGAAAUUGAUCUUCAGAAAUACUCAGUACAGAUAUAUGUAAAUGCAUACACCUAUAGAUAGCAAAAGCUCCUCCUGUGGGAGUACCUGGUAUUUCUCUCGGCAUAAUGUGUUAGGUAGGUGUAACUAUCUCUAGUUAAUGGGUCAGGUGCAGAGGUCCAGACAGCCUGUGUGCUCUCGCUGGUUACCUACGUAGUAAAUCACGGUCAUCCUUAUUCCUUCCACCAUAGCCAAGUUACAUGCGUCUAGGCAUACUUUUUGGUGGGUAUAAAGAGACCAGUGGAGCCAGCCAGAAUGCCAUGCUGCAGUAUCUAAUCUGACAUGCUGUUAGCCAGCACCUGAUUUGAAGACUCUCACCACAUCAUCUGCAAAAAUCUAAUUAGGACUUGUGCCUUUUCUGCAAGUCCCUCAUGGUGAGGGACCUAAAGGAGCCACCGAAUGAACUGUGUCAGCCAUAUCAGCUUGGAAGAGCUUCUCAUUGGAGUUUUUGUGUCAAUGGGCAGGAAGGCUGGGAUUCUUCUAGAACAAUGCCUGCGUAGACUGUGUGUGAGUGUUCAGGCCUCAUCUUAGCAGGGCAGUGGUGUACGAAGGAGGAGAGAAACUGUUUAUUUGAUUCCCAAACAUCAGAAGAUUUCCAUUCCUGUAUGGUCUAACUUCCCUCCUUUUCCAGGCAAUACAUUCCACACUGAAGACCAAAGUGCUUUGGCUUUCUCCCCUUCUUCCAACAUCUUCCCACAAAGCCAGGUAUUAGUGAAGGCCCUUGAAAAGCUGCACAAUGAAACUGCUUCUCCAGAUUAUCCCUUUGGGAUUAAGGUGAUAAGUCUCAUCGGGUUUCACCCUCUGUGGCUUGUGGUCGCUCGUCGGCUGUGUCUCCUCCACCACACAGGAAAAUAUUUGUAUGUUGGCCUCACCAGGUUCCAUUUCUCCUAGGAAUGGAACUUGUCCUACUGUUGGUCAACAGUAAACUCAACUGACUUUUCAUGGGGACGAUUGUCAUCUCUCAGGAAGCCAGAAAGCUACCCUUCCCUUCUCUAACUUCAUUCUGCCAGAAUUGAUAAGUGGCAUGAGUCUGUCGGCAGGUGCCGUGUACCUUGUGGGAGCGUAACACUCCAGCGCACCCUUUGGAGGCAGUACAGAUGGAACAGACUCCCCUCCCCAUGGAAGAUGGAGGAAAAUUGAUGGUCCAGUUUCUGUGCAUCCUUCAGUCUCCAUUCUUUAUCAGUUGCUUGGCCGCCAUUGUGUGAGUCACUCCCACUUAGAGCCAGGCAGGUCUCCAGACCACAGUGUCUGCUCCUCGCCACCUACACUGCCUGGCUGGAAGCUGUGUUUUCAUGAUGGCUUUUCUGACCACCCUGCUUGCUGUCUUCCCCAGACUUCUGAUGCAGCUGCUAUCUUCAGACCUCCUGGACUGCCCAAGAAAGGGAGUGGGAGCUAAUGCUCCAGAUGGGCGGAACAGCAACAAGAUGAACUGAAGGUGGCCAAAAAUAACAGUGCCUUCCAGAUGAGGUGACCUCAGAGCCAAGAGCAUCAUGGGGUAGAGUAUCUUGUUCCUAGUUUUAUGACCUAAAAAGUACACAGAAGAUCCAAAGAUACUACAGAGAGAAGGAAUAAAGUCUGCAGAGAACAAGGAAAUGGGAUUAGUUAUAAUUUUUUAAGUUGAAUUUCUUUGUGCACACACAUACACAAGAAAACACAAGCCUUUUAUAUAUGUAUGAAGAGAUUCCUAGAUCUCUAGUUGGAUAGACAGACAGAUAGAUAGAUAGACAAAUAGAUAUAACAAAAUACAAUAGAAGACCAAAAUGAAGAAAAAGAUAAAGACAACAUUGCCUUUCUUUGUUUGCAAUCGAAAUAAGUUUAAUAAAUCUUCACUGAGAA